GAUGAACGCUGGCGGCGUGCCUAAUACAUGCAAGUCGAGCGAACAGACGAGGAGCUUGCUCCUCUGACGUUAGCGGCGGACGGGUGAGUAACACAUGGAUAACCUACCUAUAAGACUGGGAUAACUUCGGGAAACCGGAGCUAAUACCGGAUAACAUGUUGAACCGCAUGGUUCAACAGUGAAAGACGGUUUUGCUGUCACUUAUAGAUGGAUCCGCGCCGCAUUAGCUAGUUGGUAAGGUAACGGCUUACCAAGGCAACGAUGCGUGGCCGACCUGAGAGGGUGAUCGGCCACACUGGAACUGAGACACGGUCCAGACUCCUACGGGAGGCAGCAGUAGGGAAUCUUCCGCAAUGGGCGAAAGCCUGACGGAGCAACGCCGCGUGAGUGAAGAAGGUCUUCGGAUCGUAAAACUCUGUUAUUAGGGAAGAACAAAUGUGUAAGUAACUAUGCACGUCUUGACGGUACCUAAUCAGAAAGCCACGGCUAACUACGUG
rnacentral:rRNA from 1 species